UACGUAGGGCGCAAGCGUUGUCCGGAAUUAUUGGGCGUAAAGCGCGUGUAGGCGGCUUUGCAAGUCGGGUGUGAAAGCCCUCGCUUAACCGAGGAAGUGCGCCCGAAACUGCAGAGCUUGAGUACCGGAGAGGAUGGCGGAAUUCCCCAAGUAGAGGUGAAAUUCGUAGAUAUGGGGGAGGAACACCGGUGGCGAAGGCGGCCAUCUGGACGGAUACUGACGCUGAGACGCGAAAGCGUGGGGAGCAAACAGG
rnacentral:rRNA from 1 species